AGAUUGAACGCUGGCGGCAUGCCUAACACAUGCAAGUCGAACGGGAGUAGCAAUACUCUAGUGGCGGACGGGUGAGGAAUACGUAGGAAUUUGCCCUUAAGUGGGGGAUAACCCGGGGAAACCCGGAUUAAUACCGCAUGACCUCGAAAGAGCAAAGUGGGGGAUCGCAAGACCUCACGCUUUUGGAGAAGCCUACGUCGGAUUAGCUAGUUGGUGAGGUAAUGGCUCACCAAGGCGACGAUCCGUAACUGGUCUGAGAGGAUGAUCAGUCACACCGGAACUGAGACACGGUCCGGACUCCGUACGGGAGCAGCAGGUGGGAAUAG
rnacentral:rRNA from 1 species